rnacentral:lncRNA from 1 species
UGAAUUCUUACCGUAUGCUAUUUUUGUUUUUCGGAAGACAUUUUAAAAGUACAGUAAACAGAAGAAACCGACCUGACACCUUAAAAGGCCCCAUCCACGGAGAAUGGGAAGGACGUGGCCCUUCCGCACCAGCUGGAGUUUUCGACACGACUCCCGUGGAGGCUCUGCAGGCUGCAGGCUGCGAGGUGCAGCCCCUCUCACAGGAAAGGCCGUGCUGUGACGCGCUGCUGCAAUUUUGCUGUCCAAAGUCUCAGGGAGAGGACUCUAUAGCCUUCCAAGUGACUGAGCUUAUAAAGCUGCUACCUUCUUUUCUUCAGCAGCCACAGGAGAGAAGCAGUGCCAACCAUGUCCCUCCCCUGCCCGGAGCAGAGAAAUCCAAUGGAGACUUUUAGAUAAAAACGCCAGUGCUCCACCUUUUUCUGUGUGGCUUGAGCUUAUGACGAUUUAAAAGCAAACAAGAACCAGAAUUUGACAUUCCAUAUUUGAAAUCCAUUUCAAAACCACUGUAUAAUAGGCUUGAAGUUCCUACAAAGCCCCA